AAGAAGAUGAAGGGAUUAAAGUUCCUCUCUUAUCCAUUCGAUGGAUUUUCUCUUAUGACGUGUAGGGGUGCCAACUGUGAUAUUUUUCAUGAAGAUGAACAGCAAAUGAAAAUUAUAUAUGUUAUAUUUUUUAGUUUUAAAUCAGAUUAUGCAUGCAUUUUUAUGUGUUUUAGAUCGUUAAAUAUUAUAUAUCAUAUAUUGGUUUGAUAUACGAUCUAAAACAUAAUUUCUGCAAAACUU
rnacentral:lncRNA from 1 species